UCUCUAUCACUCCACAGUGUGCAAUCGUCCUGUUUCCGCGAGCUAGCAAAACCAAAAUUGCAUUAUUCAUUUGGGUUUAGUUAAUCCAAACUCGGCGUUGCUGCGUUUUCAUCGGGUUUGCCCCUUCCCCAUGCCACUCUCGCUCUCCUGUCAUCAUCAGCAUCAUCAUCAUCGCCACCCGGAUACCACAGGCCGGAGAUACAUAAAUUAGUUUCAAAUUGAUUACGGAACACACCGACACAGUGGGGGGCAGUAAGGGAUGGUUUUCCGGGGCAGUGCCAUGAUUAAAACGAUCCAAACGAUCCUUUAAAAAAAGCUCAUAAACACACACAUCCACAACGGGGCAGAGAGAGAGUUGGGUGGUGUGUGUUCGCAACGGAUAAUAUUACCCAAAAAUGGACAGACGCUUUCCAACGGAUGGGGCGGGAGGGAAAAUUUGUCGAAAUCAAAUUUACAAACUGCUUUCCGGGUUGUGCCAAUUGUGUGUGUUUGUGUCUGUGUGUGUGAGCCUCGAACCGGAUUAGGCCGUUCGCGUUUUAUCGCUGCCAAAUCGGAUCGCUUUAAGCCCGUUAUCGCUGUUCAAACUGCCCCGUCCCACAUUUUCGGUGCUUUUUCGUUCGCACUGUGCCAGAUCCUAGUUUGUGGGACGAUUAGACACGAGAUUAUUAAUUAAAAUUCGAUAUUGCACCAUUGCCCCCCCCCCCCACACACCGUUUACUGUGUGCGCAGUAUUCGGUGUUUGAAGUCGGUGUGUAUGGAUUUGAUUGGACGGCAACAGGCGCGGAGGCUGCUGAUAAGCUUUGACAUUAUUUUCACCGCGAUUAUGAGAUCCGCCGGAGCUGUGCUGUGUGUAUUUGUGGGAUCGCCAGCUGCCCUCGCUCGCUAUAAAAUAAAAUGCACUCGCUGCUGGGUUCGAUUAUUACAUCGAGGUUGCAAACCAUCUAACCCAUUGCAUCGCAAAUCCAUCCAGCUGCACCGAAAAUGAAAUUGCUGUGGUUGGUCGUGUUGCUGGUGGCCCUGGUGUGCGGCACUUACGGGCAGGAGUGCCCCAAAGGCUUCAAUGCGCAGCAAGGCAAGUGCGUAGCGCAGCGCCCGGUGCACGGUGACUGUCCGCCCAACUCCAAGUACGACCUCAACCAGAAUCUGUGCGUUUACACCUGAGUGAUGGGGCUGAUCCUUCCCGGGCUUGUGUGUGUGUGUGUGGAGAGCAUGGUGUGAUUGAAUAAAUUUACCUUUAUACCCCGAAA